rnacentral:snoRNA from 1 species
ACUGCCCCUCGAGGCGUUGCAGGUGUGGCUGCUGUGUCACAUCUGCGUCACUAGGCGGCAGAGAGAAUCGAGGCUGUGUCUCUCGAGGCUCAGUGUUCCGACCCGUGAACGCCGGAAUGAUUAGGAGCCUGACGCG